rnacentral:lncRNA from 1 species
GCUGUGAAAGCAACAAAAACAACCCCAAAGGUGAGGAAUGGGUGGUAAUUAACCCCAAAACGGGAGGGAAAAGUGGUGGCUGAGUGCUUUGAAGUCAAAACCAAACGAAAUGUGGGGAAAAAGUGGCAGUUCUGGUGCUGAGAAGCUCCAAAAAUGGGAGGAAAAGUGGCGGAUUUGGGGCUGCAGAACCAAAAAAACCCUGAAAAUGGGAGGAAAAGUGGCAGAUUUGAGGCUUCAGAACCAAAAAAACCCUGAAAAUAGGAGGAAAAGUGGCGGAUUUGGGACUGCAGAACCAAAAAAACCCUGAAAAUGGGAGGAAAAGUGGCGGAUUUGGGGCUGCAGAACCAAAAAACCCUGAAAAUGGGAGGAAAAGUGGCGGAUUUGGGGCUGCGGAACCAAAAAACCCUGAAAAUAGGAGGAAAAAUGGCAGAUUUGGGGCUGCAGAACCAAAAAAUCCUGAAAAUGGGAGGAAAAGUGGCGGAUUUGGGGCUGCGGAACCAAAAAAACCCUGAAAAUGGGAGGGAAAAGUGGCAGAUUUGGGGCUGCAGAACCAAAAAACCCUGAAAAUGGGAGGGAAAGUGGCAGUUGAUCCCAAAAAGAGAGGAAAAAGUGGCGAUUUUGGGGCUGCGGAGCCAAAAAAAACCCCAAAACGUGCAAAGGGGUGGUUUUAAGUGCUUUGGGAUUGAAAAAAAACAACAAAACAGGAGGAAAAAGUGGCGGUUUUGGGGAUGUGGAGGAAAAAAAAGCGAAAUGUGAGGGAAUCGAUCCCAAAACCUGAGGAAAAAGUGGCAGGUUGGGGCUGCUGGGCCAAAAAUGGGCAAAAUAGGAGGAAAAAGUGGUGUUUUGGGGGCUCUGGAGCCAAAGAUAAGCUCAAAACAUGGGGAAAAGUGGUGGAUUUGGGGCUGCGGAGCCAAAAACCCUCAAAAUGUGAGGAAAAGUGGCAGCUAACCCCAAAAUACGGGGAAAAAGUGGGGAUUUUGGGGCUGCGGAGGCAAAAAAUAACCCCAAAACGUGAGGAAAAAGUGGUCAUUAACCCCAAAACGUGAGGAAAAAGUGGUCAAUAACCCCAAAACGUGAAGAAAAAAGUGGCAACCAACCCCAAGACAUGAGGAAAAAGUGGCAACUAACCCCAAAACUUGAGGAAGAAGUGGCAACUAACCCCAAAACACGAAGAAAAAAGUGGCAACUAACCCCAAGACACGAGGAAAAAGUGGCAACCAACCCCAAAACAUAAAGAAAAAGUGGUCAAUAACCCCAAAACCUGAAGAAAAAAGCGGCAACCAACCCCAAAACCUGAAGAAAAACUGCUCAAUAACCCCAAAAGACGCGGAAAAAAGCGGCGACCAGCCCCAACCCACGAGGAAGAAGCGGCCGC